UAGGGAAUCUUCCACAAUGGGCGAAAGCCUGAUGGAGCAACGCCGCGUGUGUGAUGAAGGGUUUCGGCUCGUAAACACUGUUGUAAGAGAAGAAUGACAUUGAGUGUAACUGUUCAAUGUGUGACGGUAUCUUACCAGAAAGGAACGGCUAAAUACGUGCCAG
rnacentral:rRNA from 1 species